rnacentral:rRNA from 1 species
GACUCUCGGCAACGGAUAUCUCAGCUCUCGCAUCGAUGAAGAACGUAGCGAAAUGCGAUACCUGGUGUGAAUUGCAGAAUCCCGCGAACCAUCGAGUCUUUGAACGCAAGUUGCGCCCGAGGCCACUCGGCCGAGGGCACGCCUGCCUGGGCGUCA